rnacentral:rRNA from 1 species
GAUGAACGCUAGCGGCAGGCUUAACACAUGCAAGUCGAGGGGCAGCAUAGGGUAGCAAUACUCUGAUGGCGACCGGCAAACGGGUGAGUAACGCGUAUGCAACCUACCCUGUACAGGGGGAUAACCCGGAGAAAUUCGGACUAAUAUCCCGUAAUAAUAUCCGGAGGCAUCUUUGGAUAUUUAAAGUUCCGACGGUACGGGAUGGGCAUGCGUAACAUUAGCUGGUUGGUAAGGUAACGGCUUACCAAGGCUAUGAUGUUUAGGGGUCCUGAGAGGGUGGUCCCCCACACUGGUACUGAGACACGGACCAGACUCCUACGGGAGGCAGCAGUGAGGAAUAUUGGUCAAUGGGCGCAAGCCUGAACCAGCCAUCCCGCGUGCAGGAAGACGGCCCUAUGGGUUGUAAACUGCUUUUCCAGGGAGAGAAACUUACGCACGUGUUGCGUGACUGACGGUACCCUGGGAAUAAGCAUCGGCUAACUCCGUGCCAGCAGCCGACGGUAAAACGUAGCGUG